CGCCAUCAGUCGAUCACGUACACUGACGACAUGGUUCUACAGAACCAGGAUUAGAUACCUGUUACUCAUAAUAAAAAUUUUGGAAUAGUAUUAUUUAUGAAAUUUAACGGAUUUGGCGGCAAGAUAGCCACUUAGAGGAACCUGCCCUGUAAACGAUGAGCCACGAUUAACCUUACUUUUAUUAGAAUUCAGUUUGUAUACCGCUGUUGUCAGUUAGUUUCUUUAGAAAACUUUCGUACAUGAAAAAUUCAAGGACUUCAAGUAAAGGUGCAGCUUAUGUAAAAGNUAGAGGUGGGUUACAAUUAAAGAUAAUAUGGAUAAAGUAAGAAAAACUUUUGAAGGUGGAUUUAAUAGUAAAGUUUAAUAAGACUUGAUUAGAGCUCUAUCUUGUGUACAUAUCGCCCGUCGCUAGACCAAGUCUCUGCUACCGUAACGUGAUCGACUGAGCGGGCUGG
rnacentral:rRNA from 1 species